UAAGCAUAUCAAUAAGCGGAGGAAAAGAAACUAACAAGGAUUCCCCUAGUAACUGCGAGUGAAGAGGGAAAAGCUCAAAUUUUGAAUCUGGCGGUCUUUAGGCCGUCCGAGUUGUAAUCUAGAGAAGCGUUUUCCGCGCUGGACCGUGUAUAAGUUUCCUGGAAUGGAACGUCGUAGAGGGUGAGAAUCCCGUCUUUGACACGGACGACCAGGGCUAUGUGAUGCGCUCUCGACGAGUCGAGUUGUUUGGGAAUGCAGCUCAAAUAGGGUGGUAAAUUCCAUCUAAAGCUAAAUACAGGCGAGAGACCGAUAGCGAACAAGUACCGUGAGGGAAAGAUGAAAAGAACUUUGGAAAGAGAGUUAAACAGUACGUGAAAUUGCUGAAAGGGAAACGCUUGAUGUCAGUCGCGUCGACCGGGGAUCAGCCUUGCUUAAUCGCUCGGCGUACUUCCUGGUGGACGGGUCAGCAUCGGUUUUGACCGUCGGAAAAGGACUGGAGGAAUGUGGCACUCUUUCGGGAGUGUGUUAUAGACUCUGCUCGAAUACGAUGGUUGGGACCGAGGAACUCAGCACGACCUUAGGGUUCGGGGCUUCGGCCCACGUUUGCGUGCUUAGGAUGCUGGCAUAAUGGCCUUAAGCGACCCGUCUUGAAACACGGACCAAGGAGUCUAACGUGCAU
rnacentral:rRNA from 1 species